GUUGGCUUCAUCCAAAAAUUACCGACAACUCUGGUUGCAGCCUUUAGGGCAACACUUGAAGAAAUCGCUGAGUCUUCAAUUUUAGUGCAUGUUGUGGACAUCAGUCACCCACUAGCAGAGCAACAGAUAGAGGCUGUUGAGAAAGUUCUUUCAGAACUGGAUACAUCAUCAAUACCAAAGUUGAUGUUGUGGAACAAGGUUGAUAAAGCUGAAGAUCCAGAGAAAAUCAAGUUAGAAGCCAAGAUGAGAAACGAUGUGGUUUGCGUCUCUGCUUUAACUGGUGAAG
rnacentral:misc_RNA from 1 species